CACCAAGGAAGAAAGGAACUUCUCUGGUGCGAAGACUAAAUUUCAAGAAAAAAUUGCUGCGACACAAUGCUGUCGUUUCAGUAGAACAGCAAAAUGAAGAACUCUGAAGCACUUUUUUGAAGACCUUACAAGAAGAGGAGGCAAAGUCGUCACUCAUUAAGGUCCAGUUGGGAAAAUGAAGAUCCUGUAUGCAUUCUGUAAUGACUCUUAGAAUAUAUUUUAUAUAAGAA